rnacentral:tRNA from 1 species
GGUUGGUAGCUCAGUGGUACAGCACUUGCCUGGCAUGUGUGAGGCACUGGGUUCAAUUCUCAGCACCA